AGCUCCAAUAGCGUAUACUAAAGUUGCUGCGGUUAAAAAGCUCGUAGUUGGAUUUUGGGAGCGUUUAUGACGACCGGUCCGCCGGGAUGGCGAGUACCGUUGUCGCGCUUCUUUGUUUCUCAUCGCGGUCCUGGCGCCGCGCGGUCUUUGUUGGUCGCGUUGGAGGUCGGCGCGUCGAAAGGCGUGAAGAAAGCCGCAUGAGAUCGUUUACUUUGAAAAAAUUAGAGUGUUCAAAGCAGGCUGCAUUUCGGCCGUUGAAUAGUAUAGCAUGGGAUAAUGGAAUAGGACUUGAGUCUUAUUUUGUUGGUUUUCGAGACACAGGUAAUGAUUAAAAGGGACAGUUGGGGAUAUUAGUAUUGAGUUGUCAGAGGUGAAAUUCAUGGAUUUUCGUAAGACUAAC
rnacentral:rRNA from 1 species